rnacentral:rRNA from 1 species
CACGUAAGGGGCGAGCGUUGUUCGGAAUUAUUGGGCGUAAAGGGCGUGUAGGCGGCUUUGUAAGCCCGGUGUAAAAGGCACUGGCUCAACCAGUGUUAUGCGCUGGGAACUGCGAAGCUAGAGUUCAGGAAGGGGAGCUGGAAUUCCAGGUGUAGGGGUGAAAUCUGUAGAUAUCUGGAAGAACGCCAGAGGUGAAGACGAGCUCCUGGCCAUGGACUGACGCUGAGGCGCGAAAGCGUGGGGAG